rnacentral:siRNA from 1 species
UAGUAAACCGGUAUUGUUUGAC